rnacentral:misc_RNA from 1 species
GUGGAGUGUACUGAAGAGGAAAGGAUUGGUUGCUGUUCUCAGCAUUGGAGAACCUCUAAUUUCUAAUGUGAACUUUAGUUUAAGUAAACUGGAAGUGUGUGUCCAAUGAAGGGUUUUAUCUGAAUUUGACCAUGAGGCAAGCCUUCAGAAGAGCAAAUUCAAACGCUAAUAUAGAUAAUGGGAUGUGAUAUUGCCCUGGCCUGAUUAGCAACUGAAUAGGAGGAUAGUCCUUGGAAAUUGCUGUCGGUACUUGCUAUGUAUUUGCAUGCCAGUAACUGCUAUU